CAACUCUGGAGAGGGGCGUCAAACCCCCACCGAAGGGGCAAAAUUCGCGUCCGCUACCGUGCGUGAUGGGUAGCUUGCGAACCAAAACUCUCAGGUUUUAACAGAGUGGGGAGG
rnacentral:ncRNA from 1 species